UACGUAGGUGACAAGCGUUGUCCGGAUUUACUGGGCGUAAAGAGCGCGCAGGCGGUCGUUCAAGUCGAGUGUGAAAGCCCCCGGCUCAACUGGGGAGGGUCAUUCGAUACUGAUCGACUCGAAGGCAGGAGAGGGAAGUGGAAUUCCCGGUGUAGUGGUGAAAUGCGUAGAUAUCGGGAGGAACACCGAUUGCGAAGGCAGCUCGCUGGGACGUCACUGACGCUGAGACGCGAAAGCGUGGGGAGCAAACAGG
rnacentral:rRNA from 1 species